rnacentral:rRNA from 1 species
AGCGCAGGCGGUUUCUUAAGUCUGAUGUGAAAGCCUUCGGCUUAACCGGAGAAGAGCAUCGGAAACUGGGAGACUUGAGUGCAGAAAGGACAGUGGAACUCCAUGUGUAGCGGUGAAAUGCGUAGAUAUAUGGAAGAACACCAGUGGCGAAGGCGGCUGUCUGGUCUGUAACUGACGCUGAGGCUCGAAAGCAUGGGUAGCGAACA